UACGUAGGGUGCAAGCGUUGUCCGGAAUUAUUGGGCGUAAAGGGCGCGUAGGCGGCCAUGCGUGUCUUCCGUGAAAUCCCUCGGCUUAACCGAGGACGUGCGGAAGAAACUGCAAGGCUCGAGUCCGGAAGAGGGGGGCGGAAUUCCCAGUGUAGCGGUGAAAUGCGUAGAUAUUGGGAGGAACACCAGUGGCGAAGGCGGUCCCCUGGGCCGGAACUGACGCUGAGGCGCGAAAGCGUGGGUAGCAAACGGG
rnacentral:rRNA from 1 species